rnacentral:rRNA from 1 species
CCUACGGGUGGCAGCAGUGAGGAAUAUUGGUCAAUGGGCGCGAGCCUGAACCAGCCAAGUCGCGUGAGGGAAGACGGUCCUACGGGUUGUAAACCUCUUUUGCCGGGGAGCAACGGACGCCACGUGUGGCGCCACUGGGAGUACCCGGAGAAAAAGCAUCGGCGAACUCCGUGCCAGCAGCCGCGGUAAUACGGAGGAUGCGGGCGUUAUCCGGAUUUAUUGGGUUUAAAGGGUGCGUAGGCGGAGCGUCAAGUCAGUGGUAAAAUUGAGGGGCUCAACCCCUUCGCGCCAUUGAAACUGGUGCUCUUGAGUGGAAGAGAAGUAUGCGGAAUGCGUGGUGUAGCGGUGAAAUGCAUAGAUAUCACGCAGAACCCCGAUUGCGAAGGCAGCAUGCCGGCUUCCGACUGACGCUGAAGCACGAAAGCGUGGGGAUCGAACAGGAUUAGAUACCCCUGUAGUC